GCUGCCCCGGCCUCGCUCCCUGCCCUCCGCAAGUGUCCCCCCGCCCGGCACUGCCACGCAUCGCUCCCGCCUGCCGGCCGGGUCAGGUCACAGCUCCCAGCCGGCCACAUGUCUGGGGAACUUCAGCUCAGCCGUAAGGGCCCAGCCCGCCUUGGCUUUGUCUGCAUCCGGGCGAGUGAAAGGCCUGGGCAGCUUGGGAUUGAACAGGCCUGGGCGGUGGGACUGGGUUUCAACGCCACCAGCAAGCACGUGGGGAAGAACCGGACGCCCUGCCUGGAGCUAGAGUUGUUAGGGGAGGUGCUAGCUAACGUGGCCUUCAAAAAACCCUUUUCGCCCUUGUCUAGGCCUGAUUUCCCAUGAAGCUCGGUGGGGAUAAAUGAACGGAGAGAUUUGGUGAAUUGCAUAUCAAGGAAACUAGUUCUCAAUGAUGAAUAGCGACCAGGAAAUAUAUGGGUCCUGAUCCUGCAUUCUUAUCCUCUUUCAUGGAUUCCUGUAUUAAUUUGAAAAAUUCAUGGAAAACCUCAGCUGAAAAGAGAUUUUAAAGCUAGGAGCAGGUGAAAAUGGAUUGUAAUGGAAGUCCGGACAUAUUAAACAUUCCAAGUGCACAUUAUAUGGGCCUAAUCAUGCAACCCUUAUUUAUGAGACUUUAAUAAAACAAGUCAGAGAAACAACUUGCAUGAGAUGUCUGUAGGAUUAAAUUCUAGGUACAAUGGGCAAAAGAUGAAAGAAAUGGAACAUGGGAUGUUGUGAUAUAAAAGUGACAUUAGCAAAAUGUUGCGAUAGUUACAUUACUCUCAACUGGCAAAGCUAUAAGUGCUGUCAUCCUUAACAAAUGCUUGUGUAACUUUUAUACCUUUAUACUAGGGGGCUGCAUCCCUUGCUUGCUAUGUGCACCAACCCCCCUCUCUCUGGCUGCAACGUGCGCCAGCCUCCCAUCUCUUGCCACUUUCACUUCACUGAGAGAGCCAGGG